rnacentral:rRNA from 1 species
CAUGCAAGUAGAACGCUGAAGAGAGGAGCUUGCUCUUCUUGGAUGAGUUGCGAACGGGUGAGUAACGCGUAGGUAACCUGCCUUGUAGCGGGGGAUAACUAUUGGAAACGAUAGCUAAUACCGCAUAACAAUGGAUGACACAUGUCAUUUAUUUGAAAGGGGCAAUUGCUCCACUACAAGAUGGACCUGCGUUGUAUUAGCUAGUAGGUGAGGUAAUGGCUCACCUAGGCGACGAUACAUAGCCGACCUGAGAGGGUGAUCGGCCACACUGGGACUGAGACACGGCCCAGACUCCUACGGGAGGCAGCAGUAGGGAAUCUUCGGCAAUGGGGGCAACCCUGACCGAGCAACGCCGCGUGAGUGAAGAAGGUUUUCGGAUCGUAAAGCUCUGUUGUAAGUCAAGAACGGGUGUGAGAGUGGAAAGUUCACACUGUGACGGUAGCUUACCAGAAAGGGACGGCUAACUACGUGCCAGCAGCCGCGGUAAUACGUAGGUCCCGAGCGUUGUCCGGAUUUAUUGGGCGUAAAGCGAGCGCAGGCGGUUUGAUAAGUCUGAAGUUAAAGGCUGUGGCUCAACCAUAGUUCGCUUUGGAAACUGUCAAA